rnacentral:rRNA from 1 species
CGGACGGGUGAGUAACGCGUGAGAAUCUGGCUUCAGGUCUGGGACAACCACUGGAAACGGUGGCUAAUACCGGAUGUGCCGAGAGGUGAAAGGUUAACUGCCUGAAGAUGAGCUCGCGUCUGAUUAGCUAGUUGGAAGUGUAAUGGACUCCCAAGGCGACGAUCAGUAGCUGGUCUGAGAGGACGAUCAGCCACACUGGGACUGAGACACGGCCCAGACUCCUACGGGAGGCAGCAGUGGGGAAUUUUCCGCAAUGGGCGAAAGCCUGACGGAGCAAUACCGCGUGAGGGAGGAAGGCUCUUGGGUCGUAAACCUCUUUUCUCAGGGAAGAACAAAAUGACGGUACCUGAGGAAUAAGCAUCGGCUAACUCCGUGCCAGCAGCCGCGGUAAUACGGAGGAUGCAAGCGUUAUCCGGGAUGAUUGGGCGUAAAGCGUCCGCAGGUGGCUAUGUAAGUCUGCUGUUAAAGAGUCUAGCUCAACUAGAUAAGAGCAGUGGAAACUACAAGGCUAGAGUACGUUCGGGGCAGAGGGAAUUCCUGGUGUAGCGGUGAAAUGCGUAGAGAUCAGGAAGAACACCGGUGGCGAAGGCGCUCUGCUAGGCCGUAACUGACACUGAGGGACGAAAGCUAGGGGAGCGAAUGGGAUUAGAUACCCCAGUAGUC